UGAGGAAUAUUGGUCAAUGGACGCAAGUCUGAACCAGCCAAGUAGCGUGCAGGAUGACGGCCCUAUGGGUUGUAAACUGCUUUUAUAUGGGAAUAAAGUGAGGGACGUGUCCCUUAUUGCAUGUACCAUACGAAUAAGGACCGGCUAAUUCCGUGCCAGCAGCCGCGGUAAUACGGAAGGUCCAGGCGUUAUCCGGAUUUAUUGGGUUUAAAGGGAGCGUAGGCUGUUUGUUAAGCGUGUUGUGAAAUGUAGGAGCUCAACUUUUAGAUUGCAGCGCGAACUGGCAGACUUGAGUGCGCACAACGUAGGCGGAAUUCAUGGUGUAGCGGUGAAAUGCUUAGAUAUCAUGACGAACUCCGAUUGCGAAGGCAGCUUACGGGAGCGCAACUGACGCUAAAGCUCGAAGGUGCGGGUAUCGAACAGG
rnacentral:rRNA from 1 species